AACUUUUCUUACACACUCUUCAACUGCAGAGUUGGGAUAAAACCAUGGAUUGUCAUAGUCCUGGUCAAGGAUUAAGCCUGCAAUGAAAGAUAUUUUAGACCAUGACUUUGGUGAGGAAGCCAUUGGGCGAGUGGCACUCGUUGAUUCUGGUAUCUACUUUCAAAAAUGGGUUAUGAAGUUAAGAAAAGCAGACUCCUUUAGUUUCAUAUCUCUUUGAAGUGUUUGGUUUGCAUACUUGGAAGAAAAAAUGCAACUAUCGCAGAUGGUGGCGAUUAGCGAACUUGCUAAGAGCAGGGUGGUGAUUAGUGAACUGAGAGCGUGGUGGCUUUCAACACCAACUACAAAAACACCUUUCUGUUUGCUUAACAAUUUUUUUUGAACGCAUAUUUGCUUCGUUCUUU
rnacentral:lncRNA from 1 species